AUUGAACGCUGGCGGCAGGCCUAACACAUGCAAGUCGAGCGGAUGAAGGGAGCUUGCUCCUGGAUUCAGCGGCGGACGGGUGAGUAAUGCCUAGGAAUCUGCCUGUUAGUGGGGGAUAACGUCCGGAAACGGGCGCUAAUACCGCAUACGUCCUGAGGGAGAAAGUGGGGGAUCUUCGGACCUCACGCUAUCAGAUGAGCCUAGGUCGGAUUAGCUAGUUGGUGGGGUAAAGGCCUACCAAGGCGACGAUCCGUAACUGGUCUGAGAGGAUGAUCAGUCACACUGGAACUGAGACACGGUCCAGACUCCUACGGGAGGCAGCAGUGGGGAAUAUUGGACAAUGGGCGAAAGCCUGAUCCAGCCAUGCCGCGUGUAUGAAGAAGGUCUUCGGAUUGUAAAGCACUUUAAGUUGGGAGGAAGGGAAGUAAGUUAAUACCUUGCUUUUUUGACGUUACCAACAGAAUAAGCACCGGCUAACUUCGUG
rnacentral:rRNA from 1 species